GAUGAACGCUGGCGGCGUGCCUAAUACAUGCAAGUCGAGCGAACAGACGAGGAGCUUGCUCCUCUGACGUUAGCGGCGGACGGGUGAGUAACACGUGGAUAACCUACCUAUAAGACUGGGAUAACUUCGGGAAACCGGAGCUAAUACCGGAUAACAUGUUGAACCGCAUGGUUUAACAGUGAAAGACGGUCUUGCUGUCACUUAUAGAUGGAUCCGCGCCGCAUUAGCUAGUUGGUAAGGUAACGGCUUACCAAGGCAACGAUGCGUAGCCGACCUGAGAGGGUGAUCGGCCACACUGGAACUGAGACACGGUCCAGACUCCUACGGGAGGCAGCAGUAGGGAAUCUUUCGCAAUGGGCGAAAGCCUGACGGAGCAACGCCGCGUGAGUGAAGAAGGUCUUCGGAUCGUAAAACUCUGCUAUUAGGGAAGAACAAAUGUGUAAGUAACUAUGCACGUCUUGACGGUACCUAAUCAGAAAGCCACGGCUAACUACGUG
rnacentral:rRNA from 1 species